UUCUGGCCRUGCCGCUAGCCAAGGCUCAGAGCCCGGCGUCUCGUUUUGGUUGGACUGAAAUCUGAGAGUAACGGGGUGGCAACGUUUUGCUUGGAUUUCCCACCCCAAAGCAAGCUUGAAGAGCCUCUAAGUCCUCUUGUAAACUCCUCUACUUCCAAGUCUCACAGCAG